rnacentral:rRNA from 1 species
UACGUAGGGGGCAAGCGUUGUCCGGAAUCAUUGGGCGUAAAGAGCGUGUAGGCGGCCUGAUAAGUCGGCUGUGAAAGUCAAGGGCUCAACCCUUGAAUGCCGGCCGAUACUGUCGGGCUAGAGUCCGGAAGAGGCGAGUGGAAUUCCUGGUGUAGCGGUGAAAUGCGCAGAUAUCAGGAGGAACACCGAUGGCGAAGGCAGCUCGCUGGGACGGUACUGACGCUGAGACGCGAAAGCGUGGGGAGCGAACAGG